rnacentral:ncRNA from 2 species
GUAAGGCCCUGGGGGAGUUCGACCGAACUGAGAUGAUUCCGUGGAAUCAGACCCUUUGAACCUGAUCCGGUUAAUUCCGGCGUAGGAAAGCGGCUCGCGUGACGA